CAGUCGCCGCGGUAAUACAGAGGGUGCGAGCGUUAAUCGGAUUUACUGGGCGUAAAGCGUGCGUAGGCGGCUUCUUAAGUCGGAUGUGAAAUCCCUGAGCUUAACUUAGGAAUUGCAUUCGAUACUGGGAAGCUAGAGUAUGGGAGAGGAUGGUAGAAUUCCAGGUGUAGCGGUGAAAUGCGUAGAGAUCUGGAGGAAUACCGAUGGCGAAGGCAGCCAUCUGGCCUAAUACUGACGCUGAGGUACGAAAGCAUGGGGAGCAAACAGGAUUAGAUACCCCAGUAGUCCCUGUCUCUUUACA
rnacentral:rRNA from 1 species